rnacentral:rRNA from 1 species
AGAGUUUGAUUCUGGCUCAGAACGAACGCUGGCAGCGUGGAUUAGGCAUGCAAGUCGAACGGGAAGCCGUUGAUCAGUUCUUCGGAAGAGUGAUUCGGUGGAGAGUGGCGGAAGGGUGAGUAACGCGUGGGCAAUCUACCUCCAAGUUGGGGAUAAUUCCGCGAAAGCGGGACUAAUACCGAAUGUGGUCGUAUGUCGCAUGGCAGACUGACUAAAGGUGGGGAUCCUUCGGGACCUGCCGCUGGGAGAGGAGCCCGCGUGCCAUCAGCUUGUUGGUGAGGUAACGGCCCACCAAGGCUUACGGCUAGCUGGUCUGAGAGGAUGAUCAGCCACACUGGGACUGAGACACUGCCCAGACUCCUACGGGAGGCUGCAGUCGAGGAUCAUUGUCAAUGCGCGGAAGCGUGAACAUGCGACGCUGCGUGGAGGAUGACGGCUUUCGGGUUGUAAACUCCUGUCAUGAGGGAAAAACGAUCCUGCAAUCAAUAUCUGCGGGAAGUGAUGGUACCUCAAGAGGAAGCCACGGCUAACUCUGUGCCAGCAGCCGCGGUAAUACAGAGGUGGCGAGCGUUGUUCGGAUUUACUGGGCGUAAAGGGUGCGUAGGCGGCUUCGUGUGUCGGAUGUGAAAUCCCACGGCCCAACCGUGGAACUGUGUUCGAAACUGCGGAGAUAGAGUGCAGGAGAGGAGAGUGGAAUUCUUGGUGUAGCGGUGAAAUGCGUUGAUAUCAAGAAGAACACCGGUGGCGAAAGCGGCUCUCUGGAAUGUUACUGACGCUGAGGCACGAAAGCUGGGGGAGCGAACAGGAUUAGAUACCCUGGUAGUCCCAGCUGUAAACGGUGUGCACUUGGUGUGGGAGGUAUCGACCCCUUCCGUGCCGGAGCUAACGCGUUAAGUGCACCGCCUGGGGAGUACGGCCGCAAGGCUAAAACUCAAAGAAAUUGACGGGGGCCCGCACAAGCGGAGGAGCAUGUGGCUUAAUUCGAUGCAACGCGAAGAACCUUACCAGGGCUUGACAUCUACCUGCAUGCCCCCUGAAAGGGGGGAGGCCUUCGAGGGUGGUAGACAGGUGCUGCAUGGCUGUCGUCAGUUCGUGCCGUGAGGUGUUGGGUUAAGUCCCGCAACGAACGCAACCCUUGUGGUUAGUUGCAACUGCAGGUGAUAAGCCUGCGGGCACUCUAGCCAGACUGCCUGUACAAGCAGGAGGAAGGUGGGGAUGACGUCAAGUCAGUAUGGCCCUUACGCCCUGGGCUGCACACGUGCUACAAUGGUCGGUACAGAAGGAUGCAAUACCGCGAGGUGGAGCUAAUCCCCAAAACCGGCCCCAGUUCGGAUUGGAGUCUGAAACUCGACUCCAUGAAGCCGGAUUCGCUAGUAACGGCGUACCAGCUACGGCGCCGUGAAUACGUUCCCGGGCCUUGUACACACCGCCCGUCACAUCAUGAAAGCUGUCUGCACCCGAAGUCGCUGAGCCAAUCCCGCCCUCGGGCGGAAAGGCAGGCGCCGAAGGUGUGGGUGGUGAUUGGGAUGAAGUCGUUACAAGGUA